rnacentral:lncRNA from 1 species
UUCUCAUAACCUUCAGCAUGUCUGGACCGCCUCUCUGGGCCUUCAGCCUGUCUAGACCGUUCUCCCGAGACUUCGACCUGAGUGGUACGCCUUCCGGCCUUCAGUCUUCCCAGUCUGCUCAACUAUCAUACAUCAUUCCCACUACCCUUCCAGGGAAUCCUUCUCGAUCAUAUUGUUCUAGCCCCUUAGGGGUUCCAAACUCUCGUUCCGAUCCCGGAAUCCUUUCCAUGGCCUAAAACUAGGCCUAACAUCAAACACUGUCUACCCCUGAAUCCAUGGUCUGCUUCCUACCCCCACUAGUCUGCCACUUACUCAUACCAGCCCACACUCUUGGCUGACUGAAACACCGUUGACUUCCAAACAGCUAAUCAACCUCAAAUACUUGCCGAUCCUCCUGAGAAUUUUCCAAUUCUCCCCACUUAGAGUACUUACUACCAACCACUGGUGACCCAACCAACAUCACUUAAACAUUCUUACUCAACAAAUUCUCUUUUACUUGAGCUGAAUCAAAACGAACAACCUCCACAAAACCACGUUCCGGCAUCGCACAACUCGAACUCUAAGGGAGUUCGACUCCUCGCUGAACACUUCUCAAAACACAAUUGCUAUACCCGACAACAAGAUCAAUCAACCAAAAUCUGACCAUCAAUUCCUUGGAUGAUAACUGAUUCCAAUCCCCUAACUACCGAUCCCUCAAUAAUACCAUAAAUCCGAAAGACCGAACGGAUACCAUAUCAUGAAUUAUGUGAACAACAUACCAGAUAUAAUACUCCAUAACAACCAUAAGAUAACAAGAUAUCAAGAAGGAAACAUACCCGUAGCUGAAUCCGGCUCUGCCCUGACCUCCUCUGCCAUAAGCUGAAAAGCACGCCCCUGAGCCCUCAAGGGCGCUGCUCCACUCUGACCUCCACCCAUGAUCCUCAAAGUGGUCGGUGCUGGAGCCUGCAUCGGUCCAGCAGCAAGCUGUGGACAGUUGGCCCUCAUGUGACCAACCUGAUGGCACCGAUAACAAAUCCUCAUAUCCUGAACUGGGGCUGACUGACGGCAAUCCCUCGCAUAAUGCCCCUCUCUCCCGCACUUGCAGCAUGCACCCUCAGACCUACAGACUCCGGUGUGACCCUUCCCGCACUUCCCACAAGUGCGGCUGCUCUAAUCUCCGAAACUAGAAUCAACGAUCUUGGACCGUUUCGGCGCCGGCUGCGACUGCACCGGGGCCUGCCUCUGCUCUCUCAACUGAAGCUCAAUCUCCAACUCACGCUGCCGAGCGGCCUCCUGCAAUUCCAAGAAAGGUCUCGCACCUCUGCGUAGACACAAACUGCCUGAUAUCCCUCUUGAGCAUACUCAGAUAUUGGGACAUCUGAGCCUGCUCCGAAGCAAACUCCAGGAAAAACAUCGCCCUCUCAGUGAACAUCCUGGUGAUCUCCGUCACCGACUCUGAAUCCUGCUUCAGCUCCAGGAACUCCUGAGCCAACCUCUCUCUCUCAACUCGUGGAACAUAACGGGUGCUGAACAUCUCCCGAAACUAAUCCCAAGAAACCGCAGCCCGCUGCGCAUCCGAAUAUGAUCCCGUAGUCAACCUCCACCAAUCCUUUGCCCCGAGCCUCAACAGGUUCAGAGCACACCUCACGCUCUGAUCAGCAGGCAUGAACAUGUGAAGAAACACCCCUCCACAUCUGACAACCAUCACAUAGCAGCAAUCGGAUCCUGAACUCCAUCAAAAGUAGGGGGCUUCGUAUUAUCGAAGUCCCGAUACUGAAAACCUCUACCGGCUCCUCCCCUUGCCACUGCUACAACCGUUGUAGCCGCCGCGACAUCCGUCUCUAUAAGAUCUGCAUAACGCUCAUCAAAAUAAUCGAUCGUGGCAGUCUUGAUCGACCCAAACAGUUCUGGCAACUCGGCCCGGAACAUAGCAGCAACCUCAUCAUGCAGGAUUUCACAAAUCCUAGCAUCCAACUUGUCUGUGCUCAUCUGAACGAUAACCUCGGGUGGGGCUGAUCCACCCUGACCGCCCCCUCCUUCUCCUGAUCCUGACCCGAAUCCACUCCCAGCAUGCCUCGUAACCACCAUACUGAAAUUCACCGCCAGAAAAUCAGAUGCUUCCCCAAUAANUCCAAUCCCUUAACUACCGAUCCCUCAAUAAUACCAUAAACCCGAAAGACCGAACGGAUACCAUACCAUGAAUUAUGUGAAC